UCGGUGGACUUUAGAGCUAUAAAGCAAGUGAAUGAUUAAUUAUGCUGCAGAAAUGCGACUUAAAGGUUGGUGAACGGCGAAGCAGCAAGUUUCUCACAGCGACCGAAUCUAAUAUAGGCCUAGAUAUAAAAAUACAGUAACUAAUAACUAUUUAGCACCCUUAAGUUGAGUGUUUUAGUAGUUGAUGCUGAAGCGGGAAAGUGAGGGAAAGUAAACGCGUCAUCUGUCCGAUGCUUCAUUUAUAACUUGAAUCCAUCAGAACAGCACAUGGUUGGCUAGUGAUGGAAGAAAGUAAGACUGGUCAUGUAACUCCGCCCACAACUCCAAACAAAGCCACGCCCUCUCCGCCAGUGUCCACUGAACGGCCGAUGGGUUUGAGCAGCCCAGAGUUACUAAAUGAACUGAAACAACCACACACGCUCAAACACGUCCCCGCGCACACGGGACUGAAAACCGUGUUCAGGGGACGAGGA